UGGGGAAUAUUGGACAAUGGGCGAAAGCCUGAUCCAGCCAUGCCGCGUGAGUGACGAAGGCCUUAGGGUUGUAAAACUCUUUCGUCGGGGACGAUAAUGACGGUACCCGAAGAAGAAGCUCCGACUAACUUCGUGCCAGCAGCCGCGGUAAUACGAAGGGAGCUAGCGUUGUUCGGAAUCACUGGGCGUAAAGCGCACGUAGGCGGAUAGUUAAGUCAGGGGUGAAAUCCUGGGGCUCAACCCCAGAACUGCCUUUGAUACUGGCUGUCUCGAGGUCGAGAGAGGUUGGUGGAAUUCCUAGUGUAGAGGUGAAAUUCGUAGAUAUUAGGAAGAACACCAGUGGCGAAGGCGGCCAACUGGCUCGAUACUGACGCUGAGGUGCGAAAGCGUGGGGAGCAAACAGGAUUAGAUACCCAGGUAGUCCCUGAGCGGGCUGGCAAGGCGCAU
rnacentral:rRNA from 1 species